rnacentral:rRNA from 1 species
AGCGAACGCUGGCGGCAGGCCUAACACAUGCAAGUCGAACGAAGUCUUCGGACUUAGUGGCGGACGGGUGAGUAACACGUGGGAACGUGCCUUUAGGUUCGGAAUAACCCAGGGAAACUUGUGCUAAUACCGAAUGUGCCCUUCGGGGGAAAGAUUUAUCGCCUUUAGAGCGGCCCGCGUCUGAUUAGCUAGUUGGUGAGGUAAAGGCUCACCAAGGCGACGACCAGUAGCUGGUCUGAGAGGAUGAUCAGCCACAUUGGGACUGAGACACGGCCCAAACUCCUACGGGAGGCAGCAGUGGGGAAUCUUGCGCAAUGGGCGAAAGCCUGACGCAGCCAUGCCGCGUGAAUGAUGAAGGUCUUAGGAUUGUAAAAUUCUUUCACCGGGGACGAUAAUGACGGUACCCGGAGAAGAAGCCCCGGCUAACUUCGUGCCAGCCGCCGCCGUAAUAC